GAUGAACGCUGGCGGCGUGCUUAACACAUGCAAGUCGAACGGGAAUGUUUCGCUGAUGCGAUUUCGGUCAAAUCUUGAAGCAUUUUAGUGGCGGACGGGUGAGUAACGCGUGGGUAACCUGCCCUGUACAGGGGGACGACAGUUGGAAACGACUGCUAAUACCGCAUAAGCGCACAGCUUCGCAUGAAGCAGUGUGAAAAACUCCGGUGGUACAGGAUGGACCCGCGUCUGAUUAGAUAGUUGGUGAGGUAACGGCCCACCAAGUCAACGAUCAGUAGCCGGCCUGAGAGGGCGAACGGCCACAUUGGGACUGAGACACGGCCCAAACUCCUACGGGAGGCAGCAGUGGGGAACAUUGCACAAUGGGGGAAACCCUGAUGCAGCGACGCCGCGUGAGUGAAGAAGUAUUUCGGUAUGUGAAGCUCUAUCAGCAGGGAAGAAAACAAUGACGGUACCUGACUAAGAAGCCCCGGCUAACUACGUGCCAGCCGCCGCGGUAA
rnacentral:rRNA from 1 species